CCUGGCCCUGGCAAAAAUAAAAAAGGCGUCUCCGUGCGGUUGUUGUUCUUGUUUUCCUCUCAUCGGUCGCCGCUGCUCCACCUCUCACCUGAGACGACGGCGUCGCCGGCGCUUCUGCUCAACGUCUCCGGCGCACCCGCUUGGGCCCUAGCUGCCGCGUCCAACUCGCCGCACCCCCAAUCCCACCACUAACCUCGUUGUUUCCCCAGCAUCCAUCGUGCGUCGCGGUCCUAGGUCCAUCGUCCUGGGAUGUGGCAAGGCAAGAGCUUCAGAAACAGGUAGGCCGCAGGAUUGGGUGCUUCAGGUGGUCUGGGAAGGCCGGGCAGCGGUAGUAGCCUGAAGAUGAUGCGCGCACCAUGGGGCGACGAUGGUACUCCUCCCCGGAAAGCCACAAGGAAGGGGUUGCUUGCCUCGGCGGAAGGAGUGGCUCGGUGACUCACAGCCACCGGCGUUGGUGCGGCACACAAGGAAUGCCGGAGUAACACGCCAAGCCGCCGACAUAGGGGGAUGACAACCAUUUUGGUGGAAGGGGAUACCAUGGAAUUGCUCUCGUGGAGGCGACGGCCUGGCGGUGCUGAACUCGCUCCAUGGGCGGCAGCGGCGGCCAAGCACGAGCGCAACCCUAGGCCUCCUUUGCGUGUAUGCCGCAAGAAUCAGCCUAUAUGGGCCCAGCCAGCUCCCCGCACACCCUUUCCUUUUCCUCUUGGACUAAAUCUGGUUAUGGACAUUUAUUUGGAAGAUAGUAAAAAUAGCGGUAUGUUUAGUGGAAAUAAUUAGGGAAGAAAUAUUAGGGCGAUUGUGCCCUUAUAUCUUAAUAUUCAAUUUUAGGGUGGUUGGACACAAGGAAUACAAUUUUCAUUGAGUCGAUACCAUUUUUCACUGUCAUAUUUUUUCUAUACACUGUCCCUUGUUUUUUGCAAAUGCCAUAUCGGCAUAUCACGUACCCAUAUUGUGUAUUCAGGAAGCCCAUGGGAUACGUGAUAGGCAUACUUGUCUUAAAUGUACCCUAAAAAGAACUUUUGAUACAUGAAUGGUAUGUAUGGCUCAAUAUGUUAGUGUGCAAGUAAACUAGCAGAAACAAAAUAUAUACAGUUCACAUGCCUAUGAGUUGAGUUUAUGAGAGGUUGAGUAUCAUGCACGGGGAAAUAUCAGGUGAAAACUACCGUCUCGUGCAAAUCUGAAAACUCUCGUCCAAAGCCGUUGGAUUGCGAAAGGACGCUUCAGAUGUGAAGCGGAGGCAGCUGCGCUACUUCAUGCCCGCGUACCCUUCUCCUGCCUCCAACUGAGAACAGGCCGCCGCCGUGGCCGUCGGCAACAGCCGGGCCCUCUGCCCUAUGUGACGCUUGAUUGCCUAAAAAGUCUGUCUUCUGCGAUUCCUCGAUCCCUUAGCCCAAUUUGGUGUGGAUUUGAUGGACCGGCUGGUGACUCCGAGAAAUUUAUUCCCCAUCUCCUGACCACGCACUAGAAUUCUCUUAUGCCGAACAGAACAUGGCGUAAUUGGAUGAUUUCAUUGUCCGUAUAUUUUGAUUCAUUCAUGUCGAAAGUGUGCUUGCCUGGAGUCAAUUUUGGGCGUGGGUACUUGUGAGCUUUCAUUUAUUUAUUGUACACGGAUGAGAGUUUGUAGAUUUACUUCUUGGUUCUGCUCACUUUCGUUGGCAUGGAGAAGCAAUCACAAGUUAGCAGAGCAUAAUUUGAUUUCUGCCAUUGACUGUUCUUGGCUGCAGUGGUUAGGGGCCUAGCAGUGAUGAAUUCGUAAAGUUAAUUCACAGCUUAGAAAUCUCCAUCCAUAGGUCCCGUAGGACCGAAUCCAUUUCAGGGCCUAGAAAUUUUCAUUGGUUCACCGGCUGAGGGUUCAGGCAUCGGGUGAGAACAGCAGUUUCGCCGAUCGACAGCAGCAGCAGCCCGCGGGGCGCAUCACCAUAGGGUCAGAUUCAAGUUUGGACGGAGGUAGAGGAAGAGGGCACGAUGGGUUUUUUUUUUCACAAAAAAACAUCAAGUACCAUAGCUGCCUCCGCAUCACAUCUAGACGUCCAUUCCGAAUCCAACGGCUCUGGAUGAGAGUUUUCAGAUUUGCACUAGAUGGGAGUUUUCACCUGAUACUCCCCCAUCAUACACACAACAACACAAUGGUUUAGGUUAUUGGACAUAGGCAUGAUCAGGUAGGUUUUAUAUUAUCCGCCUUCUUCAAAGUUGAGUUAUGUGCACUAACUCAAUUAUUUCUUAUAUAGGUUUGGUUAUUGCUAAGCAUUCCUUGCUGGAUCUAAGAUUGUUGUUGAAUUAGGAUAGGUGGACUUAAGUUCUAACUCUCUAUUUACUGCUCCUCUUUUUAAUAUGUCACUCAGCAACUCCAAGGUAAAGUACUUUCCUAUGUUUUAUUACUGUUCAGUGCACCACUUUAACAUCCGUAAGUUUCUUGCCUUGAGCUUGCAAAAUUGUACAGAUUUUAUCUUAUAGAAAACUUAGGCUUUCAUGCAGCUCUUUUGCACUCUCUUUGUUGAGAAUAAUGUGAAAAGGAGCCAAUUUGUUCCUUUUUUUUACUCGAGUCAUGAUGUAAUGCUUUUGCUAUGUCAAGGAUGUUCCUUUUGUGGUAAGAAACGGUACUCUCACUUCUAGUUUCUAUGUAGUAGUGGUUUUUAAUGAUGCACCACCUUGCACCCUUUUUGGGUUUGAGAAGAAUUACAGGCUAGCAGCUGCAUGCCAAACACCUAGUUCAGCCUUUUUUAGGACAUAGCCCAUUCCUUUAAUGGUUGGUAACCUCUUUUGCUUACUUCGUUUCCUUGAAACUAUUUUCUGUCACUGUGUUGUUGUUGUCGGUUUAACAGGACCGAGCAACUUGAAAGGAUCAAGAAUUACCUGAGAAAGAACUUUUUAGCCAAUUCCAUAGGUUGAAAGGAUCAAGAAUUACCUAAGAACUUUUUAGCCAGUUUCAGAGGUACGAAACUUAAGUCGACUAGGAGGUCAUUGGGAAUUAUUUUGUAAGAACCAACCAUACCAAAUUUUGCAAUAGGGUCAUUCCAUGUCUUUCUUUGUCAUGUGUGCGAUUACGUGUCCCAGGAGGCGUGUAGCAAGGAAGGUGGGCAGCAAGUCCAGAAUUGGCAAUACAGUUAGUCUGCCUUGUUGAGUUAGCUUUCUUAAUGUUUUAAUUUCGCCGUUCUUGUAAGGAAAUAAAAAUGUUACAUACCUGCCUGUUUAGAUUUUUCUCUUUUAAGGAAAAAUGUGCCAUGCACAGUUCAGUUAAACUUCAGCUUUAUUUUCUAUACGCAUAAUAGCCAUUGUGAUGAUGCAUUUUGUUUCUGUUGCCAUUAGCUCUCAUCAUGGUUUUCAAAGCGUCGCCUAAGCGUCGCCUAGUCGACGCUUAGGCGUCGAAGCGCCCGGUGACGUCAAGGCGUCGUUCUCGCCUUAGAUUUCUGACUAAGGCGUCCUGAGACGUCGCGUAGGCGUCCUGGGGCGUCGCCUAGGCGCUGAAAUCGCCUCUUCGAUCCAUUCUGGACGCUCUCGAGCGGGAAACAGAGAUCGGGCGGGAGAAACCAAAAUUGGCAGGCAUAGGCGGGAGAGGAAGUGAAAUUGGAGUAGGGGGAGAGAGGGGAACACCAGGAGCUCCCGCCCAUCCACCUCCGCCGUCAGGAAGCUGCCCACAGCCCGCCAGAUCCCCCGCUGGCCUCUCCCUCAGCGGGAAACAGAGCCAGAAGGCCCAGAACUCAGAAAUCGGUGGGAGAAACUGAAAUUGGUCGGAGAGGAAGAGAAAUUGGAGGGAAAACGAGUUGGGGGAGAGAGAGGGGAACACACCAGUGGUAUAAUUCAUGGGAAAAGAGAGAGAAGAGCUCCCGCCGACCAGAUCCCAUCCUCCUCCGCCAGUCCGUCGCCAGGCUGCUGCCCGCCAGAUCCUCCUCCUCCCCCGCCAGUGGUAUAAAUCGUGGGAAUUCAAGAUAUGAAUCAGGAGCUGUUGAAGUGACCUUUAAGGAAUCCCGCCACAAUAAAUGUUGAUGAAUGAGUGAAAUUAUGCUAGCAAUAUUGUAUAGUACAGCCUUGGGAAUAAACCAGAAUGCUUCUUUCUGUAUCGGCACUCACUUGUCAAUGAUUCAGUUAAUUUGAUCUGUGGGUUUGUACUUUGUACAUUUGAGGAUUUAUCACCGUGCAAGUAUUUGUUAUCAUCAUGUUCUGUUUCUUGCUGGUGUAACUUGGAACACUAAAACUUUUUUGUUGUAGAGGACGUAUCAGUUUACAUUGUAUUGAUAGCUGCUUGGAACUUUGUAGCUU